CAAGCUCUCCACGGUGCCUUUCCAAGGUGAGGGGAACACCAUGCGUGUCUAGGUGACUCUGUUCCGACCAUGUGUUAUUUCUUGAUCCCGGUCUGUCAUUUUACUUACAGAUCAGGACAUAUUCUGGGAGUUGGCGGAUUAGAUUCUGGAAGAAGGAAUCCAACCCAAAAGACAAGUAGGAAUUAGGUGAGCGGCUUUAGAUUCUGGCAGCUGGACAGGGCAGGUUCAUUCAGGAUUGACAUCCUCUUGCUCCAGAUCCUACAGGCACUAAAGCAGGCCUCUCUAUGAUAUUCGGGUGGCCAUAUAUUGCAUGAAAGCAGAGCACAAGUUGAAAGAUUGACUCAGAAAAGAGGGGCGAUGCCUACUGAGGUAGGAGAGUAGGAGGAAAGACGACAUGAGGAUAUGGAUACUGAGAAUUCUCUGAUUCCAGAAAAUCUCCUCAUUCCAGCUCACAUUUUUUGCACGGCUUACUUUUAUGCUUUUGUUGGCUAAUGUAUUAAUAUAUUAAUGUAAUUUUUUGGCUAAUAUAUUUGUAGACUAGUUAAAUAUUUACAUAUUAAAUUCUUUGAGGACAGGGAAAUGCCUGUGUCUUUCAGAUCCUUUCCAGUACGUGUGGGGCCUUGAUUACCCAUUUAUUUGCCUGUGUUGGGCCACUGUAUUCUGAAGAAAAUCAGAGCUCAUUGGCUACCAACCAGAAGUAUGGUGGUCACGGAUCUGAGCAUG